rnacentral:lncRNA from 1 species
CCAUGCUGUGACCUGGUACCUGCCUCUUGAUAGAAAGUUCUUCAGUGGAUCCUGAAUCCGCUUGGGACAGAGGCUGACAGGAACUCCACAAAAAACAUCUGUAUCACUGACUGUUGUUGAGACUCAUGUCAGCUGGCGACAAGGCAGAAGAAGCAGGACACUUCUUCAGAAUCACUACUUUAGACAAUUGAGAUACAAAUGUUCCUGCCUCGAUGUUUUCCUGAGCAGACUAGAUGCCUUUGUUUAAUUGAGAGCGUCAAUGCCGCCAUGAGUCUUUUUCUUUCCUACACUAGAAUCUUUCCACAUUAAGCCAUUACACUUAUAAAAGGCACUUAGAGUUGUCAAGGGCAGACUUCAGCUCUUCCGUGGAUUUCUAAGGAGUGAUAUUAAUGAAAUUAUUCCAUAUUAUUUCAUUAACAUUUGUUAAAAAGAAAACAGCAUUCCAUAUUGGUUAACAGAUGAGGUUAAGAAUAGAAAGAAUAGGAUAUGAAGUACUCCCUGAUCUUUGGAGGACAUUUCAUCUGUAUUCCUCUCUCUAGAAUGGUGUUAAUUGAAAAGGACUGGAUUUCCUUUGGACAUAAAUUUAAUCAUAGAUAUGGCAAUUUAGACGGUGACCCAAAAGAAAUCUCUCCAGUAAUUGACCAGUUCAUCGAGUGUGUCUGGCAGUUAAUGGAACAGUUCCCUUGCGCCUUUGAGUUCAAUGAGAGGUUUUUGAUUCACAUUCAACAUCAUGUUUACUCCUGCCAGUUUGGGAACUUCCUGUGUAAUAGCCAGAAG